rnacentral:rRNA from 1 species
CCCCUAGACGUUCUGGGCUGCACGCGCGCUACAAUAAUACGCACAGCGAGUAUCACCGAGCUCGAAAGGGCUAGGUAAACAAUAGAAAAGGUACUGUAAUGGUUAUAGAUCCUUGUAAUUAUUGAUCUUCAACGAGGAAUUCCUAGUAAGUAUGUGUCAUCAUCACGCACUGAUUACGUCCCUGCCCUUUGUACACACCGCCCGUCGCUCCUACCGAUUGGGUGAGCCGAUGAAACUCUCGGAUGUAGGCUAUUCAUAGCCCGCAGAAGAGAUUUGAAUCGUAGCGCUUAGAGGAAGGAGAAGUCGUAACA